rnacentral:rRNA from 1 species
GACGAACGCUGGCGGCGUGCUUAACACAUGCAAGUCGAACGGGUCUGCCCUGUUUUUUGCGGGGUGGGUCAGUGGCGAACGGGUGAGUAACACGUGAGUAACCUGCCCCUCACUUCUGGAUAACCGCUUGAAAGGGUGGCUAAUACGGGGUGUUCUGGCUGUGCCGCAUGGUGUGGCUGGGAAAGAUUCACUUUUGUGGUGUUUUGGUGGGGGAUGGGCUCGCGGCCUAUCAGCUUGUUGGUGGGGUGAUGGCCUGCCAAGGCUUUGACGGGUAGCCGGCCUGAGAGGGUGGGCGGUCACACUGGGACUGAGAUACGGCCCAGACUCCUGCGGGAGGCAGCAGUGGGGGGUAUUGCACAAUGGGCGGAAGCCUGAUGCAGCGACGUCGCGUGAGGGAUGGGGGCCUUCGGGUUGUGAACCUCUUUCGCCGGUGAAGAAGGUCCUGCUCUUUGUGGGGGGGUUGACGGUAGUCGGGUUAUGAAGCGCCGGCUAACUACGUG